ensembl:ncRNA T12E12.44 ncRNA
AAGGCCGACGAAUUGAGGGAAAUACACAGAAACCCCCCGCCCCAUAAUCUGUAGAGAAAAAAGAGAGAAAUGGGCGGAGCUUGCUUACUCUUUUGGCGCCUCCUUCUCUUUCUCUAAGUCUCACUUUCCAUCUGUUCUUUCUUCUCCACAUACAGUCAUUCGUUGGCCUGUGCUGCCUCGUCGACUACUACUACUGCCUUCAAAAAUUCUUUUAUUCGUCGCC